GGCAACGGAAACGGGAGCGGGAACGGGAACAGUAACGGCUACGGGAACGGAGGACCACCUGCACUUUCUGAGAAUGGUACCCUGCCGGAACCGUUUGAGUGCCCAUUUUAAAAGGAUCAUUUGGUCGAAGAGCACAAGGAUGUGAAUAAGAUUUUGAACAUUCAGGCUAAGAAAGGAACAAAAGUUUUUUUUGAUAGUUUCUUUCAUUGAACGAGCGAGAUUUUGUCAGUAGGUUUUGUUGCUCGAUGAAUUUGGAUUGUAAAUUGGAACGCUUUUUCCUGUU